rnacentral:rRNA from 1 species
AGCAGUAGCCGCGGGAAUACGUAGGUGGCAAGCGUUGUCCGGAAUUAUUGGGCGUAAAGGGCUCGCAGGCGGUUUCUUAAGUCUGAUGUGAAAGCCCCCGGCUCAACCGGGGAGGGUCAUUGGAAACUGGGAAACUUGAGUGCAGAAGAGGAGAGUGGAAUUCCACGUGUAGCGGUGAAAUGCGUAGAGAUGUGGAGGAACACCAGUGGCGAAGGCGACUCUCUGGUCUGUAACUGACGCUGAGGAGCGAAAGCGUGGGGGGCGAACAGGAUUAGAUACCCCGGUAGUCCCUGUCUCUUAUAC